rnacentral:tRNA from 1 species
CCUGGUAGCUCAGACGGUAGAGCGUCUGCCUCCAAUACGGGAGACCUGGGUUCGAUCCCUGGGUCAGGA